rnacentral:tRNA from 1 species
ACAUUGGUGGUUUAGCAGUAGAAUUCUUGCCUUCCAUGCAGGAGACCUGGGUUCGAUUCCUGGCCGAGACA